GAUACUACUUAUGGGACAGCUGGAGAGAUUGUUCCAGAAACUGACCCUCACGCUGCUAUAACGGUCAAAUGGCAGAGACCGCACGAGAAGGAGAGCAGGUGCACAAAAGUCAGUUGGUGCCGGUGAUGCAGGAGACUGGAUGCAGCUAGGAACUGCUGAACACAGCCAGCCCCAGGAGCGGUGAGAGGAGACAAGCGACAGCCGCUAGGGAGAACCGGCAGAACUUUACAAGGGGGAGCACGGUGAGACUGUGACGCAGCCCAGAGAAGACGCGGUCGGGAGCCCGGAGUCUGCACGGUACCUGCCAGCUAUCCUUCCAGGCAUCAGGAGGAGAGGAGGAGAUCACACUGAGGUUCCAUUCUCAGCAGUCCGACUGACGGUACAAUGGUGCUACAGGGCACAGCCACGCUCACUGUCCACUCAACCUCUUUCCAGCGCAUCCAGUGGGUGUGAACAACUGCUGAUGUUUCCAGUUUCCAUGCAGGAAGACAGGUAGGAGGAGGUGAGUCCUACAUAGCAGGGUAUGAUGGAGAGGGGUAAGGAAGACAGAGUGCAGUACAGUCAGCUGAAAGGCAAGACAAGAUAGACAGAAGAGGGAAUACAGGUACAAGGACACAUAAAUAGGAGGAGUGCAGGAAGGAACUACAUAUUUAGGAAUAAAUAUGUAGCGUUACAGGAAUAAAGAGGGCAGUAUGGAGGAUAAGCACACAUACAGGGGAUGCAGAUAACCUGGGUCUCUAUGAGGCAGGAUCGUGGCUUUGGGAUGAAAAAGUUAAUAAAAUAAAUAAAUGGGAUAUUGAUAACUUUGAAAGUA